UACGGAAGGCAGCAGGGGGAAGUAUUGCACAAUGGGCGAAAGCCUGAUGCAGCUAUGCCGCGUGUAUGAAGAAGGCCUUAGGGUUGUAAAGUACUUUCAUCGGGGAGGAAAAAACAAAACUAAUAAUUUUAUUUCUUGACGUUACCCGAAAAAGAAGCACCGGCUAACUCCGUGCCAGCAGCCGCGGUAAUACGGAGGGUGCUAGCGUUAAUCAGAAUUACUGGGCGUAAAGAGCACGUAGGUGGUUUUUUUAAAGUCAGAUGUGAAAUCCCUGGGCUUUAACCUAGGAACUGCAUUUUGAAACUGAAAUACUAGAGUAUCGUAGAGGGAGGUAGAAUUCUAGGUGUAGCGGUGAAAUGCGUAGAUAUCUGGAGGAAUACCUGUGGCGAAAGCGGCCUCCUAAACGAAUACUGACACUGAGGGUGCGAAAGCGUGGGGAGCAAACGAGGAUUAGAUACC
rnacentral:rRNA from 1 species